rnacentral:lncRNA from 1 species
GGAUGAUGGAUUGAAGAGAGAAGUGAAGAGUAGUAGCUAGAGCCUAGAGAAAUAGGGAGGUUGUGGAAGUGUUAGUUAGGAAGCAAGCAAGUAGUUAACCUCGUGCUGUGAUUUUCAUAUCAAAUCAUCAUUCAAAAUUCUAUUGAUGGUUAUUAAGGACCUGUUUGGAUACACACUCAUAAAUUUUAGGACACUCAUAAAGUUUAGGAGCUAGAAAUUGGUAGUCCUAAAAUUUAGAGUGGGCUGUUUGGAUGGAAUCAUAAUCUUUAGGAUGUUAGAGGGGAAAUGACUUUUGUACCCCUAAUUACUCCACCCAUGCUCUGUUUCUAGCGCCAUGGAGAGAGAAGGGGAGGGGCAACAGGGGUAAAGGAUGGGUUGGGGACCACUUUUAGGAGAAAAAUGACCCAUUAUGAUGGUUUGGUCCUCCUAAUGAAAAUAUCACUCCUAAACAUUAUGAAUGCACUUUUAUGACAUGUUUGGAUGCACAAGUCCUAAAAGUGGACUAAAAGUGAAGUCCUAAAGAUUAUGAGUGUGUA